UUUUGGUGCUAUGUCAGAAAUUUGGAGAGGUUGUUGGGUUAUCACAAACAUUAAACAUAAGUAUGUUGUCCUUGUAGCUGGAGGAAGGGAAGGUAUUGUAGUUGCUGGAUUAGUAUUUUUCUUAUUCAUUUUUUCGUCGUUUUAUUGGCAUAGUAUGUUGAGAUGAAUAUUUAUGUUUGUGCUCUUUGUCCAUUAUGAGCUCAUCUUUGCCGACUGAAAUCUUCUCUGGUUAACGUUUACCCUUUCCCUCCCACAUCCCCCCUCUGUCCCUCGCUUGUUAACUAAAUUGCAUUUGGGUAAGAUGGUUACAUAACGUGAUCUGAAUUGUUCAUAUUUUUUUGGUCUAUCGAAUGUUCUUGAAUUUUUGACAUUUAGCUGAAAGAUGAAGGCAAUAUUUGCUACUUACAGGUUCAUCAGUGUGUGUUGUUGUCUUCACAAUCCAAGCAGUCACCUCAGAGUUUUUGGAUGAAGAGGGUUUUCAAUCAUCCAGCAGUCUUGAUAACGAAUACUGGACUCGUCUUCUUUUUUAGGCGCGACCCAGAUCAAGUUUCUCAGCUUCCAAACUAAUUGCACAGGCUGAGGGUGGGGGAUCUGUCCAACUCCUUGUACCACUAGUCUCAUUUGUGCUCAAACAGAUUCCACUCCAGGACACUUUGAAUUUGUAUUUGCUUUUUGGUUAUAUAUAGGAAGGAAAAUUCUAAAUUAGUCUAUUAUAACUUUUUAGUUUUUUUUUUUU